rnacentral:rRNA from 1 species
UGCCAGCCGCCGCGGUAAUACGGAGGGGGUUAGCGUUGUUCGGAAUUACUGGGCGUAAAGCGCACGUAGGCGGACUGGAAAGUUGGGGGUGAAAUCCCGGGGCUUAACCCCGGAACUGCCCUCAAAACUGUCGAUCUAGAGACCGGGAGAGGUAAGCGGAAUUCCUAGUGUAGAGGUGAAAUUCGUAGAUAUUAGGAAGAACACCAGUGGCGAAGGUGACUUACUGGACAGAUACUGACGCUGAGGUGCGAAAGCGUGGGGAGCAAACAGGAUUAGAUA